rnacentral:rRNA from 1 species
UUGAACGCUGGCGGCAUGCCUUACACAUGCAAGUCGAACGGUAGAGGGGCAACCCUUGAGAGUGGCGAACGGGUGAGUAAUGCAUCGGAACGUGCCCAGUCGUGGGGGAUAACGCGGCGAAAGCUGUGCUAAUACCGCAUGUGAUCUGUGGAUGAAAGCAGGGGACCGCAAGGCCUUGUGCGAUUGGAGCGGCCGAUGUCAGAUUAGCUAGUUGGUAGGGUAAAAGCCUACCAAGGCGACGAUCUGUAGCUG